GCUCGCGUAUUUUAAUGGUAGAAUACUCCCUUGUGGCGGGAUUGGUCUCAGUUCGAUUCUGGGCGCGGGCA
rnacentral:tRNA from 1 species